rnacentral:rRNA from 1 species
UACAGAGGUCUCGAGCGUUGUUCGGAUUCAUUGGGCGUAAAGAGCGCGUAGGCGGCGGGGUAAGUCUGGUGUGAAAUCUCGGAGCUCAACUCCGAAAUUGCACUGGAUACUGCUCUGCUAGAGGGCUGGAGAGGAGAUCGGAAUUCACGGUGUAGCAGUGAAAUGCGUAGAUAUCGUGAGGAAGACCAGUGGCGAAGGCGGAUCUCUGGACAGCUCCUGACGCUGAGGCGCGAAGGCUAGGGGAGCAAACGGG